AUUUAAGGUGGUACUUAUUUAUAUAUAAUUAUCUUUUACCUUCAAAAAAAAAUUAAAAUUAAAAAAUGUUGGAGAAUAUCUUUAUAUGCUUAUUAUUAUGUACAUUCCUAAUCGCCGUUACAGUUGUCGAGACAAGAAGCAAUGAAUGUGGGUUUGGCAAAUUUGGAACUAAUUGCACUUUAGAUUGCCAGUGUAACCAGAAUGGGUCAACCGGAAAUCGCUCCUUCUACGGGAUCUGUUAUUGUCACGAAGGUUACUGGGGAUUAAAAUGCCAAAGAA